rnacentral:rRNA from 1 species
CUAAACGACUCUCGGCAACGGAUAUCUCGGCUCUCGCAUCGAUGAAGAACGUAGCGAAAUGCGAUACUUGGUGUGAAUUGCAGAAUCCCGCGAACCAUCGAGUCUUUGAACGCAAGUUGCGCCCGAAGCCUCACGGCCGAGGGCACGCCUGCCUGGGCGUCACGCA